rnacentral:rRNA from 1 species
GCCUAUUAAUGGGGGACAACAUCUCGAAAGGGAUGCUAAUACCGCAUACGCCCUACGGGGGAAAGCAGGGGAUCACUUGUGACCUUGCGUUAAUAGAUGAGCCUAAGUCGGAUUAGCUAGUUGGUGGGGUAAAGGCCUACCAAGGCGACGAUCUGUAGCGGGUCUGAGAGGAUGAUCCGCCACACUGGGACUGAGACACGGCCCAGACUCCUACGGGAGGCAGCAGUGGGGAAUAUUGGACAAUGGGGGGAACCCUGAUCCAGCCAUGCCGCGUGUGUGAAGAAGGCCUUAUGGUUGUAAAGCACUUUAAGCGAGGAGGAGGCUCUCUUGGUUAAUACCCAAGAUGAGUGGACGUUACUCGCAGAAUAAGCACCGGCUAACUCUGUGCCAGCAGCCGCGGUAAUACAGAGGGUGCGAGCGUUAAUCGGAUUUACUGGGCGUAAAGCGUGCGUAGGCGGCUUUUUAAGUCGGAUGUGAAAUCCCCGAGCUUAACUUGGGAAUUGCAUUCGAUACUGGGAAGCUAGAGUAUGGGAGAGGAUGGUAGAAUUCCAGGUGUAGCGGUGAAAUGCGUAGAGAUCUGGAGGAAUACCGAUGGCGAAGGCAGCCAUCUGGCCUAAUACUGACGCUGAGGUACGAAAGCAUGGGGAGCAAACAGGAUUAGAUACCCUGGUAGUCCAUGCCGUAAACGAUGUCUACUAGCCGUUGGGGCCUUUGAGGCUUUAGUGGCGCAGCUAACGCGAUAAGUAGACCGCCUG